rnacentral:lncRNA from 1 species
CAAGGAAAAGAGACAGCUGGGAGUUAAGCAGAAGGACUGAAUUCAGCGUGGGCUGUUGAAUCUAAGAUUUUGGCUGGCUGCUCGUGAAGAAACGCCUGCAGAAAGCUGUAAAUGCCGGCAGUGGCAGUGAGUGUGAUGGACAAGGCUAAAGAGAAGACUCAUGAACUUUCGUCCUCCUGACAUCUUAAUCUAUCUGCCAACGCUACAUGCCGUCAAGCCAAGGAAGAAUUUCCUUCUCACUGUUGCUUCUCUGACCAAGGAAGACAUAAGCACAACCAAUCACCAGACUGAUGAAAUUCCUUCCAGUUUCAGAAAAGAUUAUCACCAAUCCCUACAUUAUAAAAUUCAUACUAAUAAAGCACAAACAUUGAAUUCUAACAUUAUAUGCUAUGUGAC